rnacentral:rRNA from 1 species
UACAGAGGUCUCAAGCGUUGUUCGGAUUCAUUGGGCGUAAAGGGUGCGUAGGCGGCCAGAUAAGUCCGCUGUGAAAUCUCGAGGCUCAACUUCGAGCUGUCGGUGGAAACUGUCUGGCUAGAGUCCGGAAGAGGAGAAUGGAAUUCCCGGUGUAGCGGUGAAAUGCGCAGAUAUCGGGAAGAACACCCGUGGCGAAGGCGGCUCUCUGGGACGGUACUGACGCUGAGGAGCGAAAGCGUGGGGAGCGAACAGG